rnacentral:rRNA from 1 species
AUUGAACGCUGGCGGCGUGCCUAAUACAUGCAAGUCGAGCGAAGCGGGGACGCGUGAGUAACAAGUGGCUAACCUCCUCUAAGACUGGGAUAACUUCGGGAAACCGGAGCUAAACCGGAUUCUCAGCGAUGGCUCAGCGAUGCAUUAGCUAGUGGGUAAGGUAACGGCUUACAAAGGCAACGAUGCAUAGCCGACCUGAGAGGGUGAUCGGCCACACUGGAACUGAGACACGGUCCAGACGCCUACGGGAGGCAGCAGUAGGGAAUCUUCCGCAAUGGGCGAAAGCCUGACGCAGCCACGCCGCGUGAGUGAUGAAGGUCUUCGGAUCGUAAAGCUCUGUUAUUAGGGAAGCGGUACCUACACAGAAAGCCACGGCUAACUACGUGCCAGCAGCCGCGGUAAUUC